ACAUGCCUACAACAUAGCAUUAAUGCAUCGAAUCCCAUUAUAACUUCAUAGUUAAGCGCGCUCAGGCUAGAGUAGUACUAGGAUGGGUGACAGUCUGGCAAGUCUUAGUGUUUACAUGCC
rfam:Picea glauca, whole genome shotgun sequence.